GAUCAUGGCUCAGGACGAACGCUGGCGGCGUGCUUAACACAUGCAAGUCGAACGAGACGAUUGAAAGCUUGCUUUUGAAAGUCGAGUGGCAAACGGGUGAGUAACGCGUAGACAACCUGCCGUAAAGAUGGGGACAACAGUCCGAAAGGACUGCUAAUACCGAAUGUUGUGGAACUUCCGCAUGGGAGCUCCACUAAAGAUGGCCUCUACUUGUAAGCUAUCGCUUUACGAUGGGU
rnacentral:rRNA from 1 species